rnacentral:lncRNA from 1 species
UAUUCCUCUUUCCAGUGCAUAACACUUAGUGAUCAAACAUGCUAAUGUCAUCGUCAGUUCUGAAGGCUUUACCAGAAUUCCAUAGUCUGGGUGGUUUAUAAGCAACCAAAAAUUAUUUCUCACAGUUCUGGAGUCUGAAAACUCCAAUAUCAAGACACUGACAGAUUGACUCUCUGGUGAGAGCUUGCUUCCCCUUUUAUAGAUAGCAAUCUUUUUGUUGUGUCCUCCUGGCAGAAAGAGCAAGGGAGUUCUCUGUGGUGGCUCUUCUAUAAAGGCACUAAACCUAUUCAUGACGGCUCCACCCUAAUGACCUAAGCAUCUCCCAAAGCCCUCACCUCUGAACACCAUUACAUUGGGGGUUAAGAAUUUUGGAGAGAUGUAAACAUUCUAUCUAUGGCAGAAAGGUUACCCAAGAAAGUCCUGGCUUUCUUCUCCAGUUUUCCCAGGUUAUUCAUUCAUUCAACAAACAUACAUUGAAUUCAUUGUGCUAAACAUUGUUCCAGGCAUCAGGGUUCCUUUAGUCAGUAACAUGGACAUGGGUCCUGAUCCCACACUGCUGCUGUCUCCCUCCAGUUGUUUACAAGGAUAUUCAGUGAACUUUAUAAACCAGCAUUCUGUUGACUGAAGACCCAAUCCUCUUUGAGGGUAAACCUCAAGUGACUUAGAGUGAGAGAAGGAAGUUCUUUUCCAAUUAUCUGUGUGAUGGCAUUCUUUGGUCAAGAGGUGCUUCUAGGGCACAUCCAUCAGGUCAGCUGGAAAACAUUUACUUGAUUGAGUUUCAUUUGUAUAGCAAUGGCAGGAAGAUUUUCCUUGCUGAGAUGAGCAGUUUAAUUUUUUGUCUUCUAGUAGGACGGGCAAAGGUUGAGACACUAUCUCUCUUGGAGAAAAUAUUGGUCUCUUAAAAUUGACUUCACCUUUAAAAUGCCUCAAUAAUAGUCUAAACCCUAAUAAGAUAAUUGAAAUUGGAAGCACAUGGUGGUAAAAUCACAUGUGAGAAUUCUUCAGAGGAGCAUG